rnacentral:rRNA from 1 species
GACCAGACUCCUACGGGAGGCAGCAGUGGGGAAUAUUGCACAAUGGGCGCAAGCCUGAUGCAGCAACGCCGCGUGAGCGAAGAAGGUCUUCGGAUCGUAAAGCUCUGUCCUUGAGGAAGAAGGAAGUGACGGUACUCAAGGAGGAAGCCCCGGCUAACUCCGUGCCAGCAGCCGCGGUAAUACGGGGGGUGCAAGCGUUGUCCGGAAUCAUUGGGCGUAAAGCGUUCGUAGGCGGUAUGUCAAGUCUGAUGUUAAAGCCCGGGGCUCAACUCCGGUUCGGCAUUGGAUACUGGCAAACUAGAAUGUGGUAGAGGUAAAGGGAAUUCCUGGUGUAGCGGUGAAAUGCGUAGAUAUCAGGAGGAACAUCGGUGGCGAAAGCGCUUUACUGGACCAUUAUUGACGCUGAGGAACGAAAGCCAGGGGAGCAAAUGGGAUUAGAUACCCCUGUAA